AAGGAUCAUUACUGAGAUAGGGUCCUUCGGGGCCCGACCUCCAACCCAAUGUUUAUUAUACCUCUGUUGCCUCGGCGGGUCGCCGGCGUGCCUUUACGGGCCGCCGCUGUCGGCCCCCUAACAAGGGCUCUCGUGUGCCCGCCGCAGGACCUAUUAAACUCUUUUUAAACAAGUAUUCUGAGUGGGAAUUAAAUAACUUCAAAACUUUCAACAACGGAUCUCUUGGUUCUGGCAUCGAUGAAGAACGCAGCGAAAUGCGAUAAGUAAUGUGAAUUGCAGAAUUCAGUGAAUCAUCGAAUCUUUGAACGCACAUUGCGCUCCCUGGUAUUCCGGGGAGCAUGCCUGUUCGAGCGUCAUUAUCAACCAUCAAGCACUGCUUGGCAUUGGACGCCGUCCCCCGUGGACGCGUCUUAAACCCUUUGGCGGCGGUUACAUACCUCAAGCGUAGUAGAAAUUCUUAGCUUUCUAGGUUGUGGCUGCUUUGCCUCGAGAACAUCUCACCUCAAGGUUGACCUCGGAUCAGGUAGGGAUACCCGCUGAACUUAA
rnacentral:rRNA from 1 species